rnacentral:lncRNA from 1 species
UGCCCCUCAAAGUAAAAAAAAAAAUAUCUCUUUAUUCUCGCCCUAUUUCUCUUCUGUCGCCCACUAUCCCUUUCGACUUGUCCCUUUUAGCCUUUUGAUUUUGUAAAUUGGAACGCACCAAUUUCGAUUCCUCAUGUUCAAUAUCGUCACUCUCGCUUUUGCUUCCCUUGACCUGACCUGUAUUUUGACUUUGCCAUCUCC